GGCCCCCGCCGGCCUCGCCGGCCCCGGCGCAGGCAGCUCAGAAUUGAGGUUCUCUGUCCUUGACCUUCAUCUGCAUUAAAACUGCCUCUCUGGGAAAGCUGGGCCAACAAGAGUGGAAGGCUCUCCAAGGAAAGUCCCUUGGUUCUUUUUCAGCUAUGGAAGAAAUACCCCUUUCUUCAUGCUUCUUCUCUCAGAUGCGUUAGUGGAAGGGACAGCAGCAGUUUUCUGAACCCAAGAACAGAGAAUAAUAUAUUAGCAGUGUGUUUUCCUUUAAUCUGACCAUCCUUACAUUCCUAUGCCCACCAGCUCCAAAAUAAAACUAACUUUUAAGGAUACAAUUAUUACUUUUUACUGACAAGCUUGGGGAAUGACAUGUCUGUAUAUGUUUUAGGGGGAAGGAGUAAGGAGGUAUGCAGAAGAGUAAGUUAGUGUAUCAUUGGGACAGGGAGGAGUGCAGACAAACAUACACCAACUCCUUGAUUCUGUUUAUGGUAACUACUGAUUCUAGUAAAGGACAGUUAUUAUCAGUAAGAGAGAGUAUAUAUUACAUCAGAAUAGCAAAACCUUUAACUCCACAGAUGUAAAUAUAAAAACUACCUUAUUAAGUUCUAUAUGGAUAGUAGAAUGUCCAGGCCCCAGAAGUACGUGUACACACACACACAAACACACACGCAGAGAAUAUACUCAGGACUUUAUAGCUGGAGGAAGCAGUCUUGGAGGCCAUCUGAUCCAAAUGCUUCUCUUUACAUAAGAAACUGAUGUUCACAGUGUUACUUGCAUCAAAGACACAGAACUACUCAGGGAGAGGCAGAGCUCCUGCAUUCUUGGGCCCCAUCCUUUGGUUUCUCCUUAAAUUAGUGGUAGGAAGUGAACAGAGGAAGAAAAAAGCACCGGAAGCAGACUCACUACUAUAGGUAUUAAUUUGAAUAUCAAAUUCAUAGAGUGGUUCAAAGUUCUUGUUAAUUAGUACAAGCAGUAAGAAGUCAAAAGGAAGGAGGUAAAAAAUCAAUACAGUUCAACCAGCUAAAGCAAUGGAAGAAGGGGAAAGACGGAAGUGAUAAUGGGAGGACAAAGGAGACAAAUAAUAAAUAUACAUAAAGGUUCUCUGGAUAGCCAGGCUUACUCUCUGACAUCAUGCUAGGAGUACCUUUGUAAGAAUGUGUGCAUUAUAGUCAAAGGUAUGUAAGUCUGAACCACAAACUUGACAAGUGACCUCAGCAUCCUCUCACUAAGCAUUAUUAACUUCUCAGACCUCCCAGCUAGCAGAUUCACUUUCAAAACUUAAAGUGACUCAAUGCCUUUAGAACCAUCUCUAUAAAAAUAUCACAGGAAGUCACCAAUGAAGGUUACAACCUCCUAGUGAUACCCUGCUUUACUUUCCUUCACACCAUAUACCAUAACAUAACAUUAAAUUACACACUAAUUGCUUGAUUUGUUUUUUGUCUGUAUUUUGGACUAUAUAUCUUUGAGCCUCAGUUUUACAACUAAUUUUACCUCUAGCACACAGAAAGAUAGCUACUAGCUAUAGUUAACAGGUGUGUCACUGGGUCAAGAAGGGUGGUAGAUAUAUGUACAAACAAGUAAAGUACAAUCUAAGAGCUUCUUAUUUGGUAAAAAAAUAUUUCUGCAAUAGUGGACUAGGAAGAACCCCUCUCCCUGCACACGCCCCUUCUUUAAAUCUUUGCCACUAUUUGAAGUAACCAUAGCAUUGACUUACAAAUACAAAAACCGAAACACAAAUUAGGCUCAGAUGAAGGCAAGGGCAGUGAGACUGCUUUGUGUACUGCACAGUAUGUGUGUGUACGCAGACUAAGUCAGAUGUUUCUCUGCCCUGGCCCACCUCUACCUACUUCAAUUUAACUUCCUCCCCCAAAUAAUGAAAAUAAAGGUGGUGAAAGAGUACCAGGUGAAUUGCCCUUGGGUAUGGAAUGGACUUGAAGCAAAAAUAAAGUGCGGUGGUUUUGUCCUUAACGAAGGGUAGAUUCCUCUGUUUUUUUCCCCAAUCUCUGAGCCUCACCUGAAGGCCUAUAAGAUGCAGUUACUAGAUCCAGAGAGUUUGCCCUUGCAGUAGCAAGAAACUAGCAGAUAGUCUUCCAAUUACUUUGAUCCCAAAAUUUCUUUGGGCAAUCCACUAAUCCACCUGUUUUUACAGAAAAGAAGUGAUUUUUUUAAAAUACUUUUGAAAUUUAGAAACUCAUUAUGAGGCUUAGGGCUCAUAAUCCCUCAUCAGCAGCAAACAUUUACUGAGUGUCUACCUGAUAUUGUGUUAAUCAUAAGACAAGACAACAGGCCUUGCACUAAGUUCUCCAGAUACCACACCAUGUCUCUAGCCCAGCUACAGCUACUUGAACUGGCUGGCGUCAUGCUGAUGACAAGAAUUAAGAUCACCAGCAGCUCUUGCACAACAGCUUCGAUCAUGGUCUCAAUUCCUGUUGAUAAAGCAAUAUAGGUAAGACAGGUUGGCUGUACAUAAAUAUCAAGUAAAGACAGUGUGGGAUUGUUUUAAAAAAAUUACAACAUAUAUAGUCAAUCUCUAACCUUGUUUACUGGUAACAUUAAAUCGAUGUGGAUAAAUUCUCAAUGGUAAAACUAAAGAGUAGGAAUAAUGGUUCAUAAAUCCGAAUUCUACUUGGUUUGGCUCUGUCAUCCAUUUACUGGGUAAGCCAUCAGUACCCUUGGUUUCACACACAAAAAGGAAACAACAAUAUCUACCAUAUCUAUCUCUCAAUACAGGUGAGAAUAGGAUAGAGGGCAAUAAGCCCUAAGGGAAUGCUAAUUGAGUAGAGCCAAAGACUAUAUAAAAAUAAAAGCUACUGAUUCUAUCAUUACAGAGACAAAUCAGCUAUAGCAAAGGAAAAGAAUGUGAAUGGGGAAGUCCACACUUAAGCAAAGAGAAGACUGUUAACUAUAGCACUUGAGCCUGUGAGAGCUCCAAAUUAUUGCACCAAGAACAGCCUUAAUCCUUGAUCCUUAAGCCUUGAUCAGCCCUUUAAGAUGGGCCACUCUGACAGGAGAAAAUCUGCCAGAUUUAUCACUUUGCAUGGCCCACCAGUUUUGGAACAAAAGUUUAAAGGUGAACUAAGCCUCUGUCUCUUUUUUAAAUUCUUUUUUUAAGUGAAAACAAAAAUAAGUCUCCAAGCAGAAAUCAUAAGAGGAAUGUAAAACAUUCAUCACAUUUGGGUUCACAAGACUUAAGUCACUGUUGCUGUUACAUUUGAAGAAAAGGAGGGAGCUGGUUGGUCUAGAAGUUUGGAGAGAGCAUGAGAAAGUUCCUGGUUUCUUGCUAAAGACAAAAGGUCAUGCAAUGAAAUAGACUUGGCUUGUUAGUGUGUUUAUUGGAAAUGGCAAAGGAGGUGAAACACCCCAUAGAGUUUUGUGAAAAGCAAUCCUUUGAUGCUAAAGGGAAGAUUAUUCUUUAAAAAUAACCCCAAUUCAUAUAUUACCAAGAUAGUUAAACAAUGUUAUGCAUAUUAUUAAAACAAAUACAUUAUGCUUGAAAUUGCAUAUUAUCCUUCAGGCCUUUCUUACAACUGGCUAUCUGGCGCCAACUGAGGUUUUUCAGAUAAAAGUGAGAAAAAUGUUGUCAAGUGAUUUGGGGUUCCACUCACUUCCCUCAAAGUUUUGUCUCACAAGAUGAUUCUUACAGUGCCAUAAAAUUUACUAAGCAAAGAUUCAGUGACUCACAGGCAAAGUUAAGACUUUCUGGCCAGAUUUCCCACAUCUGGACUUCAUCUAAAUUUGUCUCCAAAUGAAUUCUUCACUGAAUGAUUCUACCUUCUCAGAAGUGACAGGAACAAAACUCGUUUUCUCCUCCUUCUGCUCUAAUAAUGAGUAACUCUGAAAACUUUAGGUAUUAUCCAUCCUAAGAAGAGGUUACAUUCUCCCAAAAAGUGGUUCUUCUCACUUCUCAAUCAUUUGGUCAUAUCAAUUAUGUAUCAAGUUCAAGUCCAUGUGAGGGAUGCAGAAGAAUCAAAUCCUUCAAGGAGCUUACAUUUAAUUCAAGAGUAAAACUAAUGUACCAAAACCAAAUUAGCCAAUGGUAUAAAAUAAUAUAGACUAUUUGUGUCACAGAACCAUAAGGGAGGUGGAGACUCAAAAAGGGGGAAUCAGCCAAGAUUAUACCAAUUAGAUGGAAAAUGAAAUGUAAAUGGAGGGUACUGAAUGGAGCAAGAUUUUAAAAGGCAGAUUUAUUCCUUGGCAGUCUACUAUGAAAAGGAAAUCUGAGGUAAAAGGAGAAAACAAGGUUUGAACCGGGAUCAGAACACCCAAAUGCUGAUUUUUAAGUCCAUUAUUUGGCCUUCAGAACAACCUUAGACUUCUCUAGAAAGGAAGACAACUUAAGAAAAUUGAAUUCGGGUCUCCCCGGUGGCGCAGCGGUUGAGCGCUGGGUUGCGAAGCUGCCCACAGCCUCUGCAGCACCGGUUUGAUGCCCUGCUGCUCCCCGGCCACUGGAGGAGGGUCUCACAUGGCGCGCAGACCUCUCCUGCCGCCCGCUG